UUGAAGAUUAAUGCAGCGAAUGGAGGAACUUCAGCCACUGUUGUCCUUGUAAUGCUGUUCUGCAAAUAUUGUGAAUCAGUAGAUUGAAGCAUUUCCAUGUGCAGGGGAAAAGCAGUUGUGAAUAGGCCUCUCUUAUGCAAGAAAGUGUUUGUUUUGGCCAUAAACAGUAUAUAUGACCAUUGCUCAAGAGUUUCACAAAAGCUAUUAGGAAGUUGCGAAAAGUGAAAGAGAAGCACAUGCACUUCCAUCAUUGACCCAUAGUUACCAUGUCACGGGGUCAUCACCCUCUCCUCAAAAGAUGCACCUGAUGGGGCAUGCAGCACUCCCGCUUAUAAGGAGCCUAGGACUCCGUUCCUUUCCGAUGUGGGACAAGUGCCUCCUCUUGUUACACUCUCUCCCACCCGAUUCCGGCAACGCCCUCAUUGCCACCGGCCACCCUGCCUACCCUAGUCCGUUGGGGGAUCUUGGCGUGAGUCAGAAGAGGUCCGGUCGGCUCUGAUACCACUAUUGUCACGGGAUUACUACCCUAUCCCCAAAAGAUGCACCUGAUGGGGUGUGCAACACACCCGCUCAUAAGGAGCCCAGGAUCCCGUUCCUUUCCGAUGUGGGACAAGUGCCUCCUCUUGUUACAUACCAUCUCUUGUAAGGCAAGUACAUCCUGUUCUCUUCUUUAAAUUCUGUAAGCUACCACAUGACUUCUUCAAAUAGUUGUAGUCUUCAAAUCACAUUGAACCUAUCAAAUCUGAUCCCUAGUUUACUCUGUAAACUGACUCAAAAGAUUGUUUUCAUUAAGGUUUGACUGUUCAAGACUCCCAAUGACUUUCCUGUACAUUCCUGCUGUUGUUGAGUGAUUGGUUCUCUCCCCAUUUGCAUCAUUUAUGCAGCAGAUAUUCUGAGUGAAUAAUGGAAUGAAUCGUUGACCCAUAAUUCAAAGUUACACGAGUUGCGACUUGAAAAUGUUGUUACCUGCUCUAGCACAUAUUGUUCAGAUGGAAUUUUUUUUGACAGCCUGAAGCGAUGAUUUAAUUCAAGCUGAUUCAAGGAUUAUAAUCAUAAAAGGAUGAUACUAUGAGCUACUUGUUUGCUUGCACAACUAUAUGAAUGGAAUGUCUGGAGCUUACAUGCAAUUUAGUAUCUCACAAGAUAUGGAGAUUUAGAUUGCAAAUUUGCAUCAGGCCAGAAGUCUCUGAGUUUGAGCUUUGGAUUCUGCAAUAAGAGAGAAUGAAUCGUGUACCAAUUCCGUCUAUGUUGCUUUAUUUAAUUGACUCUUUAUCUACGUUGCAUUGUUUGAGGGGUUUUUUUCAUCAACAAGUGGUUUAGUUAUUAUAGGUUGGGUGUAUAGGGUUGGACCUGCUGGUCCUGGGUUUAAACCACUGUUGGUUUUUCCUCCUCAUCUUUUCUUCUUAUCAGGCUAAUACAUGUUGUUCUCUACAUUUGUUAACGAGUUACUAUAAUCAACAAAAUCAUGGAAGGAUGAUGCUCAA